CCUACGGGAGGCAGCAGUGGGGAAUAUUGCACAAUGGGGGAAACCCUGAUGCAGCGACGCCGCGUGAAGGAAGAAGUAUUUCGGUAUGUAAACUUCUAUCAGCAGGGAAGAAAAUGACGGUACCUGACUAAUAAGCCACGGCUAAAUACGUGCCAACAGCCGCGGUAAUACGUAGGGGGCAAGCGUUAUCCGGAUUUACUGGGUGUAAAGGGAACGUAGGCGGUUUAGCAAGUCAGAAGUGAAAGCCCGGGGAUCAACUCCGGGACUGCUUUUGAAACUGUUGAACUAGAUUGCAGGAGAGGUAAGUGGAAUUCCUGGUGUAGCGGUGAAAUGCGUAGAGAUUAGGAGGAACACCAGUGGCGAAGGCGGCUUACUGGAC
rnacentral:rRNA from 1 species